CCUACGGGUGGCAGCAGUGGGGAAUAUUGGGCAAUGAGCGCAAGCCUGACCCAGCAACGCCGCGUGAAGGAAGAAGGCUUUCGGGUUGUAAACUUCUUUUGACAGGGAAGAGUAGAUGCCGGUACCUGUCGAUUAAGCCACGGCUUACUACGUGCCAGCAACCGCGGUAAUACGUAGGUGGCAAGCGCUGUCCGGAUUUACUGGGGGGAAAGGGCGUGUAGCCUGGUUUGCAAGUCAGAUGUUACAUCCUGCGGCUUAACCGCAGGACUGCAUUUGACACUUUUGAUCUUGAGUACGAGAGAGGCAGGCGGAAUUCCAAGUGAAGCGGUGAAAUGCGUAGAUAUAAGGAAGAACACCAGUGGCGAAGGCGGUCUGCUGGACAGAAACUGACGGUGAGGCGCGAAAGCGUGGGGAGCAAACAGGAUUAGAUACCCGAGUAGUC
rnacentral:rRNA from 1 species